rnacentral:rRNA from 1 species
CCAUAUGGUCGACCUGCAGGCGGCCGCGAAUUCACUAGUGAUUAGAGUUUGAUCAUGGGUCAGAUUGAACGCUAGCGGCAUGCCUUACACAUGCAAGUCCAACGGCAGCACGGACUUCGGUCUGGUGGCGAGUGGCGAACGGGUGAGUAAUAUAUCGGAACGUGCCCUGGAGUGGGGGAUAACUAGUCGAAAGACUAGCUAAUACCGCAUACGAUCUAUGGAUGAAAGUGGGGAAUCGCAAGACCUCAUGCUCGUGGAGCGGCCGAUAUCUGAUUAGCUAGUUGGUGGGGUAAAAGCCUACCAAGGCAUCGAUCAGUAGCUGGUCUGAGAGGACGACCAGCCACACUGGGACUGAGACACGGCCCAGACUCCUACGGGAGGCAGCAGUGGGGAAUUUUGGACAAUGGGGGCAACCCUGAUCCAGCAAUGCCG